UACGUAGGCAGCGAGCGUUGUUCGGAGUUACUGGGCGUAAAGAGUGCGUAGGCGGUUUUCUAAGUUUGGUGUGAAAUCUCCCGGCUUAACUGGGAGGGUGCGCCGAAAACUGGAAGGCUUGAGUAUGGGAGAGGUAAGCGGAAUUCCUGGUGUAGCGGUGAAAUGCGUAGAUAUCUGGAGGAACACCGGUGGCGAAGGCGGCAUCCUGGACCAAUACUGACGCUGAGGAGCGAAAGCUAGGGGAGCAAACGGG
rnacentral:rRNA from 1 species